CUGCAGAAGAAGCACCGGCUAACUACGUGCCAGCAGCCGCGGUAAUACGUAGGGUGCGAGCGUUAUCCGGAAUUAUUGGGCGUAAAGAGCUCGUAGGCGGUUUGUCACGUCUGUCGUGAAAGUCCGGGGCUUAACCCCGGAUCUGCGGUGGGUACGGACAGACUAGAGUGCAGUAGGGGAGACUGGAAUUCCUGGUGUAGCGGUGGAAUGCGCAGAUAUCAGGAGGAACACCGAUGGCGAAGGCAGGUCUCUGGGCUGUAACUGACGCUGAGGAGCGAAAGCAUGGGGAGCGAACAGGAUUAGAUACCCUGGUAGUCCAUGCCGUAAACGUUGGGCACUAGGUGUGGGGACCAUUCCACGGUUUCCGCGCCGCAGCUAACGCAUUAAGUGCCCCGCCUGGGGAGUACGGCCGCAAGGCUAAAACUCAAAGGAAUUGACGGGGGCCCGCACAAGCGGCGGAGCAUGCGGAUUAAUUCGAUGCAACGCGAAGAACCUUACCAAGGCUUGACAUGUUCUCGAUCGCCGUAGAGAUACGGUUUCCCCUUUGGGGCGGGUUCACAGGUGGUGCAUGGUUGUCGUCAGCUCGUGUCGUGAGAUGUUGGGUUAAGUCCCGCAACGAGCGCAACCCUCGUUCCAUGUUGCCAGCACGUAAUGGUGGGGACUCAUGGGAGACUGCCGGGGUCAACUCGGAGGAAGGUGAGGACGACGUCAAAUCAUCAUGCCCCUUAUGUCUUGGGCUUCACGCAUGCUACAAUGGCCGGUACAAUGGGUUGCGAUACUGUGAGGUGGAGCUAAUCCCAAAAAGCCGGUCUCAGUUCGGAUUGGGGUCUGCAACUCGACCCCAUGAAGUCGGAGUCGCUAGUAAUCGCAGAUCAGCAACGCUGCGGUGAAUACGUUCCCGGGCCUUGUACACACCGCCCGUCAAGUCACGAAAGUUGGUAACACCCGAAGCCGGUGGCCUAACCCUUGUGGGGGGAG
rnacentral:rRNA from 1 species